GACAGACUAAGGCCAAGAAAGAGGUUAUAUCAUGAACCCAUGACCUGACUCCAGACAAUGAUUUUGCCAUUCCAACUUCAGAGGAAGCUUUGGAAGGAGUUUAAACCAUAAGCUUACCCUCUCAAUCAUCCACUACCCCAAGGACAGAGGUGGGAAAACUCAAAGGCACAGGCUGUACUGAGAAGUUUGAGCAAUGGAGAAGAAAGUGGAGCUCUGACUGACCUUAGCCCACCACAGUCAGGCUCCAAGAGGGGAGAUGGCCUGGGCUGAUGGCUCCCUUUCCUCUGCUGGCCCUUCCCUUUUGGGAAAACCCCCAUGUCAGAAAAGUCUCAAGUCUGUCAGACUGGGAGUCCC
rnacentral:lncRNA from 1 species